AGAACGAACGCUGGCGGCAGGCUUAACACAUGCAAGUCGAACGCUUCACCCUCGGGUGGAGAGUGGCAGACGGGUGAGUAACACGUGGGAACGUACCCUUUUGUUCGGAAUAACCCUGGGAAACUAGGGCUAAUACCGGAUACGGCCGAGAGGCGAAAGGUUUACCGCAGAGGGAUCGGCCCGCGUCCGAUUAGCUAGUUGGUGAGGUAAUGGCUCACCAAGGCAUCGAUCGGUAGCUGGUCUGAGAGGAUGACCAGCCACAUUGGGACUGAGACACGGCCCAAACUCCUACGGGAGGCAGCAGUGGGGAAUAUUGGACAAUGGGCGCAAGCCUGAUCCAGCCAUGCCGCGUGAGUGAUGAAGGCCUUAGGGUUGUAAAGCUCUUUUACCUGGGAAGAUCAUGACGGUACCAGGAGAAUAAGCCCCGGCUAACUUCGUGCCAGCAGCCGC
rnacentral:rRNA from 1 species